CUUGAUAUCCUCCUGCCUUAGCCUCCAGUGUAGCUGGGAUUAGAGGUGUGUGACACCUAGUGUGCCUUCAAGGUCUCUUUCUUGUGGAUCUGGGUCCAUGGGGGCGAGACUCCACCAAGGCUUGAGGCUCCACGAGGGUGUGAGGCUUCCCGGAGCCUGGGUCUCACCUAGCUAUGAGAAGGUGGCUGGCUGACCUUUGUUCUUUCAAGAUAAACCCCCAAACUUGGGUCACAUUGUGCAGGUUUCUGGCCUUGGUUAGAAAAUAACUGUGAAUGAUAAUAUGCUUCAAUUUUGUAAAUGGAACUGGAAGAACUACUUCAUUAAAAUAAGGAAAUAAAACAAAAAGAUGGGAGAUGUGGAAGCAUCAAGGAGAACCCUAAGGUGACCUGAGGGGAUAUCCCAGAGCCGCAAGGAAACAGCCGUGCCAGUGAGAAGGAAGGGAGAGGGCUCCAGAGGCAGCUCAAAAAAAAAAAAAAAUCAUAGAUUUUUUUUCUCAGCUUUAAAAAAAAAAAUAGAAUUGGUUAGUAUAUAGCAGAUAUGCUGAAAAUUGGGUGAAAAAUUAACAAUAGGUAGAUGAAAAAUGAAGCAAAUGAGAAAACGAGGCAAUUAUUAACUUCAGAAAAAAUGAAAGCAUGUGGAGGAAAAGAGGUUGCAAUGCAUUAUUUGGUGCAGUGAAUAACAUUGAUAUUGACUUAAGGUAACAUUGACCAUUGGUUUAACAAAAAAUUACAUAUAACUAGCCAUGGGGUAAGAAAAAUGAAGUUGGGAUAGGGGAGAGAUAUUUAACAUUUUUUCACCCUGCAGGGAAAUUGAAAGACAA
rnacentral:lncRNA from 1 species